UGGGGAAUUUUGGACAAUGGGCGCAAGCCUGAUCCAGCCAUGCCGCGUGCAGGAAGAAGGCCUUCGGGUUGUAAACUGCUUUUGUCAGGGAAGAAAAGCUCUGGGCUAAUACCUCGGAGUCAUGACGGUACCUGAAGAAUAAGCACCGGCUAACUACGUGCCAGCAGCCGCGGUAAUACGUAGGGUGCGAGCGUUAAUCGGAAUUACUGGGCGUAAAGCGUGCGCAGGCGGCGAUGCAAGACAGAUGUGAAAUCCCUGGGCUUAACCUGGGAACUGCAUUUGUGACUGCAUUGCUAGAGUACGGCAGAGGGGGAUGGAAUUCCGCGUGUAGCAGUGAAAUGCGUAGAUAUGCGGAGGAACACCGAUGGCGAAGGCAGUCCCCUGGGCCUGUACUGACGCU
rnacentral:rRNA from 1 species